AUAUUUUCAGUUUGAUUAUCAAAUUUUGUUUUUAUGAUCCUAGCUAGUAAUCUUUUUAGUUAUUAGUAUUGACUGAUAUACAACUUAUAAACUUGACCCCGCCACAUACAAAUAGUAAAAAAUAUACUGAAUGAUAAAAUACAAAUUGACAACUGGUUUUAAAUUUAUCCUAAUAUUAGCAUUUUAUAAAUAAGUAUUGAAUGAUAUUUACAUAUUCAGUUUUCAUGUGAAUUGAUAUGCAGCUUUUUCACGGUUUUGUAUUUUUCAGAAAUAUGACUAAUCCCCCAAAUACAUACAACAGUUAAACAUAUACCAAAUAAGAACAGAAGAAAACUUAUUUAAACUAAUUAAUCUCACUAGUUUUAUGAUACGGCGAUGAAUGAUAUAUCACUCAUAUUAUCCACGUUCACGUUCUAAAACAUGAUUCAGAAAUUUUUAUCAUUUAUAAUAUCCUCAAAUCUGUAUGUUUUAACGUUUUUGAAAAGUACUAGUAAUUUCACUAAAUCAAAAAGGGAAAUUUGAACGCAUAACAAUAGGAACACACGAAACAAAGAUUCUAACCAUUGCAUACUUUAGGCUACGAUAUAGUCGCUAUAUUUAUGUAUAAUGGCAAAAAUACCCAACAUGCGCGUGAAAAAACGUUGGAUCCACCACUUCUUCCAAUUUCACUUACCCCUGGCAACUGAACAAUGUCUUCUCCCGUUCUACACUCAAUAAAGCGAUAACGAAGACGGAUUUGGAGAAAGUUCACCUUUGUUUCACCUGUGAAACAAGGCGGACUAUUUGUCAUAUCGUUGUGGGUUAGAGCGUGAGGCAACACUACUUCAAAUUUUGGGUAGUAAGUGUCGUUGGUGGCUCCAAUUUAGAGGAGAAAAGGAGGACAUCACAGGAGGUUCUGAGAUACAUCAUGUAUUUUGUUGGAAGGUUCUCGAGCAUAUUAAAAUUGUAAUCUUGCGAAGCCGGGAAUACUGCCUUCGCAAUACUGCCUCCACUGCAUCCAUCUCAGGACCGAGAUUAACCAAUGGUGGUUGUCACCAUUUUCUUGGCCCAAACUUGGAUACACAAGUGAUACCAAAGAUAUGGAAAAAAGCCAUGGAAAUUUUCUUAAGCUCUAUUAUGUCUUAUAUUUUUUAUAAACCUUUUUCUCCUAUUCCUGUGAUCUACAAGUGUGUAUCUUAAUAUAUAAAGUUGACUUGUGUGA